AUGGCCGCCGGCGUGAGCAGGCUUCCGCCGCGUCUCAACACGCUUGCGGUCUUCUCCUCGCCGACGCCGAACCCCUUCGGCCCCAAUAAGCGCGUCGCCAGGUCCAGGCUCAGGCCCCCGCCAAUCUCCAUCUCCAUGGACCCGGCCCUCGUCGACCCGGCCCACCUCCAGGCGCUCAUGCUCGCCUGCGCGCACUCCUGCGCCAUCCGCCUCUCCCCGCCGGAAGCCGCCGCGCGGCCGGAGCCCGUCGACAUCCGCAAGCUCCGUACCGCCGUGGCGCACAGCUUCCUGGUCGUGUCCGUCUUCUGCGGGACCAGGUUCUUGGAGGAAGACGACGGAGGGGACGAUCGGCGCUUCAUGGGCCUGGAGCUGGACCUCGGGCUCGGGCGGCGUGGGGAGCAGCGGCUCGUCGGGUUCGGACGGGCCGUCUCCGACGUGGGGCUCACCGCCUCCGUCCAUGACGUCGUUCAUCCAUCAGUGCAGAGGAGAGGAAUUGGGCGCAAAAUACUUGAAAAAAUUACAAGGGUACUCCAUAGCAGAGGUAUUUAUGACAUUUCCGCAUUAUGCACAGGAAAGGAGAGGCCAUUUUUUGAAGCAUGUGGAUUCGGCGAUGAUGCAAUGGGUGCCACAACAAUGAUGUACACUAGAAACUUGUACGAAUAG
rnacentral:rRNA from 1 species